rnacentral:rRNA from 1 species
GAUGAACGCUAGCUACAGGCUUAACACAUGCAAGUCGAGGGGUAACGAGAGGAAAGCUUGCUUUCCAUGUCGACGACCGGCGCACGGGUGAGUAACGCGUACCCAACCUGCCCCCAACUAGGGAAUAGCCUUGCGAAAGUAAGACUAAUACCCUAUAAUUUCCUCAGAUGUCAUCUGACGAGGAAUAAAGAUUUAUCGGUUGUGGAUGGGGAUGCGUCUGAUUAGCUUGUUGGCGGGGUAACGGCCCACCAAGGCAACGAUCAGUAGGGGUUCUGAGAGGAAGGUCCCCCACAUUGGAACUGAGACACGGUCCAAACUCCUACGGGAGGCAGCAGUGAGGAAUAUUGGUCGAUGGGCGGAAGCCUGAACCAGCCAAGUAGCGUGCAGGAUGACGGCCCUAUGGGUUGUAAACUGCUUUUAUACAGGAAUAAAGUUAGCCACGUGUGGUUAUUUGUAGGUACUGUAUGAAUAAGGACCGGCUAAUUCCGUGCCAGCCGCCGCAGUAA